rnacentral:rRNA from 1 species
CGGAGGGGGCUAGCGUUGUUCGGAAUUACUGGGCGUAAAGCGCACGUAGGCGGACUGUUAAGUCGGGGGUGAAAUCCUGGGGCUCAACCUCAGAAUUGCCUCCGAUACUGGCAGUCUCGAGUGCGGGAGAGGUUGAGUGGAAUUCCCAGUGUAGAGGUGAAAUUCGUAGAUAUUGGGAAGAACACCAGUGGCGAAGGCGGCUCACUGGCCCGUAACUGACGCUGAGGUGCGAAAGCGUGGGGAGCAAACAGGAUUAGAUACCCGUGGUAGUCCACGCCGUAAACGAUGGGCGCUAGCCGUUGGGCAGCUUGCUGCUCGGUGGCGCAGCUAACGCUUUAAGCGCCCGCCUGGGGAGUACGGUCGCAACGAUUA